rnacentral:rRNA from 1 species
UACGGAGGAUGCAAGCGUUAUCCGGAAUUAUUGGGCGUAAAGCGUCCGUAGGUGGAAGUUCAAGUCAGCUGUUAAAGCGUGAGGCUUAACCUCAUAAGGGCAGUUGAAACUGAGCAUCUAGGGUGCGAUAGGGGCAAGGGGAAUUCCCAGUGUAGCGGCGAAAUGCGUAGAUAUUGGGAAGAACACCGGUGGCGAAAGCGCCUUGCUGGGUCUGCACUGACACUGAGGGACGAAAGCUAGGGGAGCGAAAGGG